GUAAGUUGGAAGUGUGACGAGGAUGAGAUUGUCCGGCGAAACAAGCUCGGUUUUGGUGCAAUAUUACACUUACUGGCGCGUGUUAAAUACGAGACAGAGGUUAAGUGCAAAUCGAGACUGAUGUCACAACAGAGCAGUCAGCACUCCUGAUUCGUAUUCCCAAAGAUACGACUUUCAAACGUGUGCUCGGAAAUCGCCUAACCUGACUGCGAUUCUUCGUGGGUUUUUCUCAGUCCCUCCAGCGGGAAUUUCGAAACAUGGCCGAACCCCGUCAUUUGUUUGCUCACCGAGUCAGCCAGAGGAGAAUAUAGAACGAAAUGGACUUCUCGGGGGAUGCUAAUUAGACGAUGACUGAUACACACAACACAAUGCUUUAGUGGUAAGGUUUAGGCAUAGGACUGAACCGAACCGAACGCGUUUGCCUUAUGGUUAACCAGUCAUGUAUUGCGUUCAAUUCGAAAGAUGGCCGACAUUUUCAUAUACCAGGCGUAGCAGACAAAUGCUAGGAUGACCACUUCUCUUCACAUCCUCACGAAUCUGGUAUCCUCAGUCGGCCUAUUAUUUGAAGGGGUGUGUAAAAUCUGUAUAGGUU